UAAAAGCCUACCGCUACAAUUAUGGUGGCUCUGAUUUAAUUCUUGGUACGAAUUUACAUCCAUUAUUUCUUUUGCAACAAUGUGCCCUGCUGAAACAGAAAGAAACAACACUUUUACAGUCUGUUACAUUUGUUCUGCUUUGGAAUUCAGCACUGAAACUUACUAAAUAUUGCAUAUGACCGGAGCAAUGUGCUUUCAACCUGCAGGUACCCUGAAGUUAGGUUAAAUCGCAUAUGGAAGCCAAUGACACACACAGAUCUAAAUGCAGUGAAAGCCAAUUUCACUACCCUGGACUAUACAGUUGACAAUGAUCCUCCUGAUAAGGCAAUAAUCCAUGCUGUGGAAGCUCCACUAUCGACAAAUUGGCUACUUUUGCAGCCUUUGACAGUCACCGAAACAAUACGCCUUGACUAUGUUUCGGUGUAUUUCACAGAAAUAGUUCUAGAUAUUAAUGCUAUUAGGACGUUUGAUUUAUGUGUGAAUGGACGAAAGAAAUUCACGGUUAACCCCAGUACCAAAACUGCGCAGGAUAUAUGAUAAAUACUCAAGUUUUUGGUUCUCUGACUGUUGACUUAUUUCGAAGCUUUGAUUCCACAGUACCGCCAAUAAUUAGUGCCAUUGAAGUAUACGCUACCAGCGACUCCCUUGUCACUGCAGGAACCUCACAGGAUGACUGUAAGUAGCUUCAAUUAUUUCUCUGCUUUCCUCUCCCUUGUGUGUCAUUUUCUCCAAUCCUCAAGUGGGUUAUCUAUUGAAACAGUGGAUGGUUUAGCUGUUCUCAUAAAUUCCUUCGAGCAGCUGAAGGGAUGGAGCGGUGAACCAUGUCUCCCAAGUGAUACUCUAUGGCAAUGGCUGGGUUGCACAAGCAGCUUCAGCUACCCACCAAGGGUCACUUCAAUGUAUGAUAUCUUUAAAUUAUUUUGCAGAAAUCUGUCAGGAUAUGGUCUCAAUGGUCCUCUCCCUGAUUUCAGCCAAAUGCAAGCCCUUGAAACAAUGUGACUCAUCCACUGACACCAUUUUUUUUUCCUUCCUCAUUUAUUGAUCUACUCUUAACAUUUUUUUUCUUUUGCACUGAUUUCAGAAACCUGUCAGACAACAGUCUUUCUGGUCCAGUCCCAGAUUUCCUUUGAAACCUGCCCAGUCUAAGAUUGCUGUAAGUCUAAUAGCACAAGAUAUAAUAAUGAUUAAAGGAUAACUGUAAACUAAUUGUGAUUCCACAUGAAUUACUUUGUUAUUCUCCUUUCUUAGUGACCUUCGAGAUAAUGGCUUUUCUGGAGAGAUUCCUCAAAGCAUCGCUGAUAACAACCAAUUAACUUACUAGUAAGUGUGACUUGUCUUUAUUUUUGUUAAAUUUAAUCCCUAACUACACAAAUUUUCUGAAAUUUGUUUGUUCUUGUUAUAAAUGCAGCAUAGAUGGGAACCCAAAUCUCCAUCGAGCAAAGAAAAAGAAUUUGGCUCUUAUGGUUGGUUUAGCUGUUGGAAUACAAAUAUGCCUACUAGUAGUGAUUGCAGUGAUAAUUACAGUUUACUUCUCAAAGAGAGAGCCACCACCAUCCAGCCCAGGACAAGCAACAGAAGUGGAGAUGGGAGGGACAACUCAAGAGGAGAAUCCUUCUGUGACAGUAAUCACAGAAGCAAUAGUCAAGCCAUCAAAUUCCAUGGAGAAUAUAACUUCAUAAUCAGACGGAGAAAGUUUUACAUCACCACCAAAUGGCACACAUACGAAUCUGCAGAUGCAUGCCGAUGGCCAUUCUGCGGAAACAGGAAGAGAAGAUAUUACAGCCAAUGUUAAUGCUGGAAUUACUAAUCCUCCACCCGUGGUUCAAGAUAUUGAUGAGGAAGAACUAAAUGAUCUACUUCGACAACAUGGAAGUACUGGGGUCAAUGUGAGAACAUAACAUGUUAAGCCCUGUGCUCCUCAUGGCUUAAAUAAGGAGUUAUGAAUGAAUUCACUGAAUCCUGAGCUUGAUUUAAACCUUUCUCAUGAACUCACUCAAUAAAUCCUGAGCUUGGUUAAAAUCUGAAACAUCAAGAGAUCAAAAAAAAAAAAAAAUCACAAUGAGGUAUAAUGGAUAAGUGAGUUGCAGGAGCCAUAGUUUCCAGAAUCACUUUGUCAGAUCAGUAUUAAGAAACCAAACAACUAGAACUUGCAGAUAAGUGCCCAAAAUAGUUAUAAUAUCUCUAAUAAUACUUAGAUGCUAUCACUGUCAACACCUAAUAAUAUAUAUUAUGUACCGUUCCUGAUACGGAAUGCCAAUGACAAUAGCCAUUGUAUCUGAUGGGUCACUUGAAAGAAACAAGUUGUUUAGCCGUGUUAAAAAUGAGAUUCUUCCUAGCAGUGUCCUGUAGUUAUGGAGACAGAAAUAUGAAAACAAACUUUCUAAAUCAUCCCAUUUUAUAUAUUUGAUUCAGAUAAUGACCUUCUCAGGUAAAGUACAAGCAAAUUGAAUGUUAUUGAUUGACGAGCGGAUUCAUAUAAACUGAUGCUGCGCAAGAAAAACACCUGACCACAUGUUGCAUGUACGUAUUGAUUUAACAUAAUGCUUCAGAUAAAUUUUCAGAGUUCAGUGUAGGCUCUGCGAAUGAGGGAAGUAAAGCGUUUGCAGGCCCAAGAAAAUUGGAAAUGGGUUUUGCAGUAGCCAAGCUUCUUCAUGACAGGAGGGCAAAGACCAUUUAGCAGGCAAUCGAAAUGGUUUCCCACAUGGGUUUUACUUUGAAUGUCAAGUUCUUUGAUAAAACCUAUUUUGUGAUAUUUUAACAGAUUUUUUCAAAAUUUAUAAUUCUAUUCACCAAAAGAAUACAUAUAUGCCCAUCAUUUAUGACAAUCUACAAACCGAGGUUUGUGCUAGCAGAAGAAACCCAAUUUACAGGUAUAUUAAUCCAUGAUUUUACUUCCAACAAUACCAAAGGGUAUACAGGCCAUCCACAACAUCAUAUUAUAUAUGAUGAAUUGGCGACUCAAUGCUACAGAAAUUUAGAUCAAAGCUAAACUUAAGGAUAAUUUCAACUUGAAGAGGACAAAACAUACAUGACUUUCUAAUUUUAACCCUGUACAGCACACAAUGAAAUGAGCACUCGCAACCAUGUAAGACGGCACUAUGAAAUCUCAACAUGCACCUAAACCAGAUUGGCAAAGUAAUGUUCAGAAAUGGGAAAUUAUAUUAAUUGGAUACUAGAUAAGUUGGCGUCACUUGUUAAUCUCGACACAUAACCAUAGUACAUUGUAUUUAUUGGAUGGUAGAUAAGUUGGUAUCACUUAUUGUUCAGAAAUAGGAACUUGUAAUCUAUGGUUAUGGCCUGCAACCACAAUCUGCCCUUCAACAUGGAAAGCUACAGGUGGAGAGCAGUUACUAGGCAUAGUUAUUUCAGAGCACGCUGAAGCUAUUGUAUUGGCUUUCAUCAUCUUCAAUUUACUAAGUGAUAUAUUUGCUAAAAUGACUGCUCACUGCAACGGGAUUGACAAGGCAAUUACCAAAAAAUUGUAAAAUUCAAGUAACAUUUAAUGCUGCAAACUGACUUACAUUCUAACGAAUAAGAGUACAUACUGACACUUUACAAUGUAAAACAAAAAAAAAACUCGUUAAUGUUGAGGUAGGGCCGGUCUCUUUUCCAAUACCUCAUAAUGAACAACAAAAUUAUCCUUGCGAAUUAUUUCGAAUGUAUUUGGAUCAAAACAGUGGUAAGAUCCUCUCUCAUAUGUAUUUGUCUUAACAAGUGGCUCUACGUUGGGGACUCUUAUGAACCACAACCGGUGCUCUUUGUGAUAAAACCAGCCUCUGUUAUAACUGCCAACAAGAGGUUUCACAUCAUCCUUAGCAAAAUACCUUCUAAGCUGAUUACCAACAAUAUCAGGAUACAAAAUACUCCAAAACCUUGAUGGCUUUAACAAAUGAAAACAAUUGAUUCUACAUUUGAAAUAAAUCCACGUAGAAGCAGGAAAAGCAGUACAAGGAAUCAGAGAGGAGGCUGCAUGGAUAUGAAACAACAAUGAAUUCAAUUCAGCAGCUGAGAGCUUACAGUUCAUUUGCAGCAUAUAAUUGAGCUUCAUCCUUUGGCAUGCUAUAAAAUAUAUAAAACAACGUUUCCACUGUGAAUUUUGAAAAGUAUCCUUGAUGUAGAGCAGGAGGUUGUUUAGCAUAAUAGCAUUGAGGCACACUAAACUCUGGAUCACCCUUAGCUGGCUCAUCAGACCAUGGAGAGCCAAAUGUCUUGUGGAGAUUUUCUGUUGAAUUCAAAUUUAGUCCAAGAGUGGUUAAAUCAAUUCCAAGAGCCAGUGAGGUCAGAUCAGGGUCGCUCAUCCUUAUAACACUUAACAAACCAAGUAACCCAAACGGGUCAGGUGCAGAUUGCGCUGCUUGCACAGAUUUCAUGCCCUGAUCCCUAAAUGGCUGAUUGACAGCUGAUAUUUGUUGUAAUCGAAAUUGGGACUGGUUUUGGUGUUGCUGAUACUGCUGGAUGAGCUGGUCAUAUGGUCCAAUACCAGAAACUGUAUUUGGUGAGUUCAGAGGUCUCAGUCCAAUCCCAGGUGGUCCGUUGGUCUGAACCAAAGAUGAAGUACUUGGUUAAAAGAAAAUUUUUAAAAACAGAAACAUAAUAAAUGCAAAGGGAGAAAAGAAUCAAAUUCAUAGUGACACUACCAUGACAUGACAAAAUGAAACCAUUUCAAUCAAAUUUUUAAUUUACAGUUUUUUAAAUUUUAAACAAGGCAGUAGUUACAUAUCAUCCAUUCUUAGAUUUAAAACCAGUCACUUGACCUUGGAUAACCCCAAAAUACAUUAGCCACAAAUUAUUUACAGCAAGUCUUUUACACCUGUGAGUGAUAGGUCGAAUGUGAAGAUGGAAAUAUAUCUGAACCAUGAAGAAGAUCUUGAUUGUUUACAGGUGAAAACGAGACCCCACUACUACUGACAGCUGGAGCAUGUUGUUGUUGCUGCUGCUGCGGACGAUAAGAUGAAUAAUUUCCCCCCAAGUUGAAUCCAGCAGACCUGCCCAUAGGGAAGUGCUGAGAUUGCAUCAUUGACAUGCUGUUGUCAUGCAGUUGUUCUUUCUGAUGCAAAUCCAUAGUGUAAUCAGCAUUACCACCUUUAAAUCCAGGUAGAGCUGGAAAGUCUUCAUUCUGGAUGCUGAACUCUUGGUUUUGUUGAACAAUGGGGCUGACUCCAAGACCUUGUUUCCGUAACGAACCCAAUUGUCCUUGAGGCCCUCCAGCAGAACUAGGACGACUUGUCAACUGAGGGAAGUCAUUAUUUAUGUCAAAAGGGGAACUGUCAUUGGAGUUCACAUCAUUUAACAUUCCCAUGGAGCUAAGAUUGUUCACUGCUUGGACAUGACUUUGGGAAAGAGGACCACCAGCAGUUGGAUAAGAAUUUCCCAACAUGGAAAUUACCUGUGGAGAUCCUUGUGGAAGUACACCACUCAUUAAUCUAUUUUGUCCUUGCACACUUAAACUUCCAGAUCCACUAUUUGCAGUUAGAUUUAGCCGAGAUGCGAGACCAGGCACAGAUAAUCCUCCACCCGAGCUUAUGCUCCUCCCAAUGUUGCCCCCACCAACCAUGUUUCCCAUAGAACUUGUAAUCCGAGGGCCUGCAUUUCCCAAUAUUGGGGAUACUCCCAAUCCUGGCACAGCAUUCCGGUUGCCAAUUCCAGCAGAGGUUGGAAGAAUCCCAGGAAUGGAACCACCAACUCCAUUUGUGUUACUACUAAAUCCAGGAUUUCCUAUAACAUUUAUACCUCUAUUUGUAACUCCUGAAUGUCCAUGAGAGCUGCCAUGAGAUAACUGAGAGAGUGCAACAGGAAGAUUAUUGGAUGCAAAGCGACCGCUAGAGAGGCUUCCGGUAGGUUGUUGAACUCCUCCAGAAGGAACAUUACUUAUUGUAGAAUUUCUUGAUGCAAGUGUACCUGGCAUGUUGGGAACAUUAAAGCUCCCGUGGAUGUUAUGCAGCCCUUGAAUAGUUCCAGUAUGAUGAAAAACAGGAGAUGCUGCACCAGACUGACCAGAGAAAGAAGAGGCAAAAGAACGCCCAUUACUGUCAGGUAGAUUUGAAGCUGAACUGUUUAGCGAAGAAUUAAGUAUCCCCGACAUUGCAAAAAUGUCAAAAGGUUAUGUGAAAAAUCAUUCCUCGCCGACGGGUAGCUGUCCUUGUCUUGAGUCAAGGAAUAAAAAUAGAUCAAAAAGCUUAUCCCAAUAAAUAUUCAAUCUACAGCCUGAGAGGCAGAUCAGCGAUGUAUAUAGAGAUCUUUUUGGGUUGUGAGUCAAAAGAAGCGAGUUCGAGUUUGCCCUAAAUUGAAUUUGAAAGAAGGGAAUAAGAGAGUGAGAGAGAGAGAGAAAUGGUGACCGACUGAAAGAAAGCGAAAAAAGGAAAAAU
rnacentral:misc_RNA from 1 species